GUCCUACCAAACAUGUAAAAUCUAAAAGGGUCUUAACUUAACUUGGUUUAGAAAAAAAAAAUUUAAGUAAUAUAUAUAAUUUUAAAAUCUAGAAUGUGGUUACGAAAAACAUAAAUAACUAAGUUCAACAACAUCCGUAACUCUUCUCACUACAAGAAAAAGUUAAUUUUUCGACACACAAAACAACAUCAAGAGAUAAUAAGUCAGAAAAAAUGAUAUCUCCUUACAAGCUAUGGCAAGCAUUGGAAGUUAGUCAUAACCCCGAACGUUGUACGUCGGGAGUAAAUUGAGAAAGAAUGUUUUUGUAGAGAAACUCCCGACGCCUUUCUUUAGAGUUUUCCUAUUUUAUAUAGAACUUUCAGAUCUCAUUUCCUUCCUACUAUUUAAACUCUAAUUUUUCACUCUCCAUCUUCCUCACAACGCCAACGUCGUUUGCUCGCACAGCCCCCUUCCCACCUUGGGUUGCUCCGCCUCUUCCUCUCUCAACGCUACUUCACCCACCACCGCUACUCCCUCCAUUGUUUUCCUUUACCUAUUUCAUUUGUACAUUAUUUCUUCUCUUUUGUGCACUUUCACGACUUGAUUUUCAAAUUUAUUCUAAUUGUAAUUUCCUUUUUCACGAUAAUUUUGUUUAUUUCCAUUUUAGGUUUGUGUGUUUAUAGUUUUUCCUCAGAUGCUACUUGCUUUCGUGUUCAUAUUUGAAAUUUAUACAAAAAGCUUAAAUUCAAAUAUGGUUUUUUGAGCAAAAGGACUUAACGAUGAAGGGCUUAAUCAUUGUAAAGGUUUUUUGUGGCCUUUUGCUUUGAGAAACCAUCGUGAGAUGUUUAGGUUUUUUAUUCUUAAUCUGAAUUUGAAUGUUAUAAAAGCUUUUUUUUUUAUAUACUUUAAUUCUUAAAUUCUUUUGUUGAACUGAAGUGUUUAUCUCCUUUCUUUAGAUUUUGAUCGAACUUGGUACGAAUUGAGCAAAUGAGAAAUUACAAAGUUCAAGCAACUCAUCAAUGUUAGUAAAGUGAAGGAUUCUUGCUUUCAUUGAAUAGUAAUGUAAUUGUUAAAUUUUGUAGUUAGCUUCAAUUAUAUAUAUGUAGUUUAGAGUUGCAUUUUAUUGCUUGUAGUUGUGAUCUUUGAUUGAAUUAAUUACGUGGCAAGAGAGAUUAUUAUGAUCUUUUUUCUCCUUUAGUGAAUAAAUUUCAUAUUAAUUUCUAAAAUUACAUCAAUUACCUAACAAAAUUUCACAUAUUAAAAGGAUUUAAACACCUUGGAUGUUCUUUUGGUCGAGAUUUAGACGGUAAUAUAACGUUGAUCUAAAUUCUUUUUGAAUUAAAUUUGAGUGUUUACAUGUUGUCCCUAGCAUUUGUGAACUCUUAGAUCCAAACUAGAUUUGGACUAAUUCUAACAAAGAUCAUAACCUUUGGAAUAAUCUUCAUUUGUAGUUGUUUAACUUUUUUUAGUUUAGAGUUUCCUUUGAUAUAUAUAUUCUUAAUAUUUGUUGUGAUACAUGCCUGCAUAUUGUUACUAAUUGUUACUUAAUACCACAACUUAAUUAUAUUGUAGGUAAAUAUGAUGUCUUGGAAGCUACAUGUAAAUUGUACACUUAUACUGUACCCUAUAUAGGUAAACAUUAUUAUAUUCUUUACUACACCUAUCUCUCUUAUAUGUAAUAACAAUUUUGGUUGUUUUUUUGAGUGUGUGUGAAAACUUUUCCUUUGCUCAACUAUUAUUGAUUUGGGUUCUAUAAAUUUUAGGUUAUGAAGAUCAAAUUUAAAAACAAUUAACUGGUUAAUGAAUGAAAAGAAAAGAAAUGGUUCAUUAUGAAAACGGAACAAUAGAAAUAUCAUAAGGUGAGAUUUGUUAAAAAGAUGAUGAGAUAAAAUUGUAAAAUAAAAAGAAAAAGAUAAGCUUAUUUAUUUGAGAAUUAAGAGAAUAAUAAUGAUCAUAAUUAGAUAAGAGAGAAUAUGAAAUGGAUGAAAAGAAAAGAAUGAAAAUGGAAGUGGGAGGUGGCAUUAAUGUAUUAUAGGAUUGCCAGAAAAGAGAUCUAAGUAUCUAAUUUCAUAUCACAUAAUUAUUUAAAUUAAAAAGAAGAAAAACAAAAUGUAAAUAAGAUGAUGGUUAAAAGAAAUAC
rnacentral:lncRNA from 1 species